rnacentral:rRNA from 1 species
CCUACGGGAGGCAGCAGUGGGGGAUAUUGCACAAUGGGGGAAACCCUGAUGCAGCGACGCCGCGUGUGGGAAGACGGUCCUCUGGAUUGUAAACCACUGUCCCCAGGGACGAAGAUGACGGUACCUGGCGAGGAAGCUCCGGCGAACUACGUGCCAGCAGCCGCGGUAAGACGUAGGGCGCAAGCGUUUUCCGGAAUUACGGGGUGUAAAGGGAGCGUAGGCGGAAUGGCAAGUUGGGUGUUAAAUCUACCGGCUAAACUGGUAGUCGCACUUAAAACUGCUAUUCUUGAGUGAAGUAGAGGCAGGCGGAAUUCCUAGUGUAGCGGUGAAAUGCGUAGAUAUUAGGAGGAACACCAGUGGCGAAGGCGGUCUGCUGGGCUUUUACUGACGCUGAGGCUCGAAAGUGUGGGGAGCAAACAGGAUUAGAUACCCGGGUAGUC